GGCCUGAGAGGCCCCAAACAGCCCUCGGGCCCGGUUUGGGAGGAUUAAGCUGGAGCUCCCACCCCGCCCUGCUCCCAGAGGGCGCCCCGGGCCCGGCGCGAGAGGAGGCAGAGGGGGCGCCAGGCCGCGCGAGAGGAGGCAGAGGGGGCGCCAGGCCGCGCGAGAGGAGGCAGAGGGGGCGCCAGGCCGCGGGAGAGGAGGCAGAGGGGGCGCCCCGGGCCCGGCGCGAGAGGAGGCAGAGGGGGCGCCAGGCCGCGGGAGAGGAGGCCAUGGGCGCGCGCGGGGCGCUGUUGCUGGCGCUGCUGCUGGCGCGGGCUGGACUCGGGAAGCCGGAGUCGCAGGAGGCGGAGCUGUUGUCAGGUCCCGAGAACGUGAUGCUCUCAAAGGCCUGCGGCCACCGGGAAAUUCACUCGCUGGUGGCGGGCGGAGUGGAGUCCGCGCGCGGGCGCUGGCCAUGGCAGGCCAGCCUGCGCCUCAGGAGACGCCACCGAUGUGGAGGGAGCCUGCUCAGCCGCCGCUGGGUGCUCUCGGCUGCGCACUGCUUCCAAAAGCACUACUAUCCCUCCGAGUGGACGGUCCAGCUGGGCGAGCUGACUUCCAGGCCAACUCCUUGGAACCUGCGGGCCUACAGCAGUCGUUACAAAGUGCAGGACAUCAUUGUGAACCCUGGCGCACUUGGGGUUCUACGCAAUGACAUUGCCCUGCUGAGACUGGCCUCUUCUGUCACCUACAAUGCGUACAUCCAGCCCAUUUGCAUCGAGUCUUCCACCUUCACCUUCGUGCACCGGCCGGACUGCUGGGUGACCGGCUGGGGGUUAAUCGGCCCCAGAGGCAGUGAGGCUGAGGAUAGACCGGGUGGGGUGAUGGGGGUGCGGGGAGGGCAUUACCCUCUACCCCUGUUCCCGCUACACAAGCACAGCAGCCCCCUCCUUAGUCUGGGGGUGCAACCUGCGCCCCUCCUGCUCUCAUUCUCUCCUCACUUGCUUUUCUGCUCUCACUGCCACCUGCCAGGGCAGGGACCAAACACCCAGUUCUUCCCCCUUCCAGGGACUGUGGGGGCCAGCAGGACAGUGUGAGAGGGAGGCCAGCUUGGCCUGGGCCUGAAGGAGUGAGGGGGAGUUCGCUGGUGACAGAAGCCUCAGGCAAUGAUUUUUAAAAAUUGAGGCAACUCACAAACCAUAAAAUUUUCAAGUGUUCAGUGUUGAAGUACACAAUUCAGUGAUUUUUAGCCUACAGUCAUGUGUCACUUAAUGACUGGGAUAUGUUCUGAGAUAUGCAUCAUGAGGCAGUUUCAUCAUUGUGUCAACAUCAUGGAGUGUAGUUACACAAACCCAGAUGGCAGAGCCUGCUACACACCCAGACUGUGUGGUCUAGCCCAUUGCUCCUGGGCCACAAACCUGUGCAGCUUGUUACUGCACUGAAUACCAGAGCAGUUGUAACACACUGGUAAGUACUUACGUACUUAAACGUAUCUAAACAGAGAAGAGGUACAGUAAAGAUACGGCAUAAAAGAUAAAAACCAGGCCAGGCGCGAGAGCCUGUAAUCCCAGCACUUUGGGAGGCCGAGGCAGGUGAACUACCCACCUCGGCCUCCCAAAGUGCGGGGAUUACAGGUGUGAGCCACCGUGCCCAGCCGUUUUAUCAAUUAUUAAUAAUGAGCUAUUAACAUCUCCAACUAUUGUGGUAGAACUGUCUAUUUCUCCCACCAAUUCUGUCAAUUUUGCUUUAUAUGUUUUGGGGAUCUGUUGUUAGGUAUGAAGAUGUUUAUGAUUGGUAUAUUUUCUUGAUGAUUUGAUUGUUUUAUCAAUAUGUAAUGUUGUUCUUGGACUCUUAUAACAAGUUUGCAUUAAAUUCUAUUUUGUCUGAUAGAGUAUAGCAACCUCAGCUCUCUUUUGGUUACUAUUUUUAUGGAGCUUUUUCCCAACCUUUCACUUUCAGCCUGUGUGUUUCACUGGAUCUAAAGUGAAUCUCUUAUAAGGAGCGCCUAUCUGGAUCCAGUGAUUUUUUUAAAAGCCAUUUUAUCAGUCUCUGCUUUUUAUUUGGAGCGUUCAAGCCCUUUACAUUAAGAGUAAUUAAUUACAGAUCUGCAAAGAAUUACUUCUGCCAUUUUGUUACUUGGUUUUUAGAUCUCAUCAUAUCUUUUUUCUAUACUGAUGUUUUAUAUUUCUUUUGUUUUUUAUUUCCUCAUUUUUGUUUAACUGAUUGUUUUAGAGUACCAUUUUGAUUCCCUUCUUAUUUCCUUCUCUGUGUUUAUUUUGCUUUGUUAGUGGUUGCUCUAGGGAUUACAAUUAAUAUUUAAACCUUAUAACAACCUACUUUGAAUUUAUACCAACUUAGCUUCAAUAGUAUUAAAAAAAUCUCUGUUUCUAUAUGGCUCCAUUCCUCCACUUUAUGUUGUUAUUGUCACAAUUUACAUCUUUAUUCAUUGUGUAACCUUUAACCUAGAUUUAUAAUUAUUGUUUUAUGUAUUUGUCAUUUAAAUUACAUAAGAAAAAGAGGAGUUACACACCAAAACUACAAUAAUACUGACUUUUAUAUUUACCUGUGUAGUUGUCUUAACCAGGGCUCUUUAUUUGUUUGUACGACUUUGAGUUACUCUCUAGUGUUCUUUCAUUUUAACUGGAAGGAUUCCUUUAUCCACUUCUUGUAGGAUAGGUCAACUAAUGACAAAUCUUCUCAGCUUUCGGUUAUCUGAGAAUAUCUUAAUUUCUUCUUCAUUUUUUUCCUGAUAUAAAAUUCUUGGUUGACUGUUUCUGUUAAUCUUGUUGAGGAUCCCUUGUCCUUGAUGAAUCACUUCUCUCUUCCUGUUCAUAAGAUUCUCUCUUUAUCUUUUGUUAGUUUUAUUAUAAUGUGUCUCGGUGUAAAUCUCUUUGUGUUUAUCCUAUGUGGAAUUUGCUCAGCUUCUUGAAUCUGUGGGUUCAUGUCUUUCAUCAAAUAUGGCAAGUUUUGACCUGGAUCCCACAGCUGUCGUGUGUUAAUCAUAAACAUUCUCAUCUACUGUAGCCCUUCUUCCUGCCAUGCUUUGGUUGAGAAAUCUCUCCGUGGACUCAGGCAGGGGCUAUCAUCUCCAUUCUACAGAUAGAGAAACUGAGUUUUAGGAAGCACUGCAACAGCCUGGCCCAUCCAUUAUGUUAUUCUGUAAUAUUGUUGAUUGCUCUUGAUGCACUGGGUGCUGGGGAGUCAAGAGCAAUGCUGGGUAUUGUGGGUGUGUCAGGGACCCUCUCCCCACCACUAUAACACAUGCCCUUUCUCCUCUCCCUGCUCCAGAUGGCAGAGGAGAGGUGAAGGGUGCUGUCUUUCUCUAUCCUAUCUCCAGCACCUCUGCCACCUCCUUACAACCUCCGGGAAGCACAGGUCACCAUCUUAAACAACACCAGGUGUAAUUACCUGUUUGAACAGCCCUCUAGCCGUAGUAUGAUCCGGGAUUCCAUGUUUUGUGCUGGUGCUGAGGAUGGCAGUGUAGACACCUGCAAAGUGAGUGCCUGUACCCCACCAGGGAAUCCCACCCUCUCCAGCUCUAGACCUGAGAGCAACUACCAUUUCUCCCCCAACCACUUCCAACCCAUUGCUUGGAUUUCUUAGGAGAAAACCAGCGCAGUCUUAGUUACUGAGCCUACAAAAUAUGCUUCUCAUUUUUCAUAAAUUCUGCCUACACUGAUUAACCCACCAACCCCUGGAGGCUGUUGCCCCACUUUGAAAGUGUAGAAACUGAGACUUGAUUCCAUGGGAAGGAGUAAGGUUUGCAUUCUGUCUGCCUAGCCCCACAGCCCCUCCUGCUCUCAUGACCUCUCUGCUACCCCACCCACUCUGCCCCAAGCUGGGCUCACACAUGCUGCUCCCCAGGGUGACUCAGGUGGACCCUUGGUCUGUGACAAGGAUGGACUGUGGUAUCAGGUUGGAAUCGUGAGCUGGGGAAUGGACUGCGGCCAACCCAAUCGGCCUGGUGUCUACACCAACAUCAGUGUGUACUUCCACUGGAUCCGGAGAGUGAUGUCCCACAGUACACCCAGGCCAAACCCCUCCCAGCUGUUGCUGCUCCUUGCCCUGCUAUGGGCUCCCUGACUCCUGCAGCCAUUCUGAGUGCACCAGAAACUGUGAGGCUGCAGUGAGGACCACAGUAUUGGCUCACCUCCUCUGGGCUGUGGGCACUUCAGGGACAGGGUUGGGACUGCCUGCUGGAUCGGAUUCCAGCCCCUUUUGUCUCAUUUGCUAAUAAAUACGUGUGCA